GCUGGCGGCGUGCUUAACACAUGCAAGUCGAGUGCGCGGUUGUAGCAAUACAACUGGCGCACGGCGCACGGGUGCGUAACACGUGGGCAAUCUGCCCUCCGAUGGGGAAUAACUCCGGGAAACCGAAGCUAAUUCCGCAUAACAUUCCCUGGACUCUGGUUCGGGGAUUCAAAGCAGCAAUGCGUCNGAGGAGGAGCCCGCGCCCGAUUAGCUAGUUGGUGAGGUAACGGCUCACCAAGGCAAUGAUCGGUANCUGGUCUGAGANGAUGGCCAGCCACACUGGAACUGAGACACGGUCCAGACUCCUACGGGAGGCAGCAGUGGGGAAUCUUGCGCAAUGGGCGAAAGCCUGACGCAGCGACGCCGCGUGGGGGAUGAAGCUUCUCGGAGUGUAAACCCCUUUCGACUGGGACGAAUGCCCGCAAGGGAGUGACGGUACCAGUAGAAGAACCCCGGCUAACUACGUGCCAGCAGCCGCGGUAAGACGUA
rnacentral:rRNA from 1 species